GGUUUAUGGUGGUGCAGUAUUCUAGUCGGUACUGCCGAUUUCGAAGGCGGGCCUAAAAAUCCGUUAAAGGGCACAUCGAUGAAGUUUCUGGUGCUGGCCGCUGACGCCCCGUCGGGGGCUGGUGCUGGGAGUUAAGAAAGAAGGGCGAUCCAUAAGGGCAUAUGGGCGUUGACCCAGCUUUCGCGGAGACCUGCUUGGGUGGUGAGACCUUUUCAUUACUGGGCAGGGUGGAACCUGUUAUGCGGUACUACGCUGUGUACAGAGUAGCCUGUCUUGCGUUGGCAUGGUGGAAAAGCAGGAAGACGAUCACUGAAACAUUGCGUACGGAUGUUCAGGGACCAUGACUGUAAAAAACCAUGCUGGCAAAAGAGACUAGAAAUCGGAUUUGUGCUGUCGAGGAAAGCUCCUAGACUGUAUUUCAGGCAAUAAGGGGAUUAUAGUGUGGUUUGAACAGGCAAUCCGGUCGUGCAGCAGGUAACACUGCACCGCAGGCUCUAAGGGGAAACCACUCCUUUCGGCGACGGGGAGCAGACUGUGGGGAAAUCCUACCGGACCAAAUACUGCAAGGUCUACCCUUAUUGUCACCACCAUAUUUUUAUA
rnacentral:sRNA from 1 species